UUUCAUAGUUCAUCGAGAAUGAGGUCUCACCUCCUUCCCGUAGGUCGAGGAGAGAGCUCCCGGAAUCUUGCUGACCUUUUUCGGGUUGAUAGAGUACUGGAGAAGAAGCCCAGGAUCCGAGAGAGUCUUUCAACUCUUUUUCCUUGCUUUUAUAAUCUGAGGACUUCCUGUACUUGUCGUGGCUUAUUGUGGUCCGGUCGAGAAGUUUUCCCUAUCGUAGAGAGGUUUUACAUCACUACUUAUGUCAAGUGUAACGAGGAUCGGAUGAAGUCAGCUUCGGUAACUAUUCAUAAGAAGAUUAGGGCGGGAUCAACGCUGUCGUGGUCGUAUGGUCGGAUUUUGACCAAUACAACUCAUGCCCCCAAAUA
rnacentral:lncRNA from 1 species